GAGUUAUUAAAGAGUGUGUUUACCAUAUAACAUUAAAGGUUGGUGAUAUCAAUAAGCGAUUCUCUGCACCUUUCAAAUACUUCUCGUUUUGGUUACGGCCUCGAACAAAUCGCUAAAUU
rfam:Solanum lycopersicum cultivar Heinz 1706 chromosome 12, whole genome shotgun sequence.